GGAGGGGUUCCCGAGUGGCCAAAGGGAACAGACUGUAAAUCUGUCGGCGACGCCUUCGGAGGUUCGA
rnacentral:tRNA from 1 species